rnacentral:rRNA from 1 species
AACGAACGCUGGCGGCGUGCCUAACACAUGCAAGUCGAACGAACUUCUUCGGAAGUGAGUGGCGCACGGGUGCGUAACGCGUGGGAACCUGCCUUUAGGUUCGGAAUAACAGUUAGAAAUGACUGCUAAUACCGGAUAAUGUCUUCGGACCAAAGAUUUAUCGCCUUUAGAUGGGCCCGCGUUAGAUUAGCUUGUUGGUGGGGUAAUGGCCUACCAAGGCGACGAUCUAUAGCUGGUCUGAGAGGAUGAUCAGCCACACUGGGACUGAGACACGGCCCAG